GUGCUGUAAAAGUAAUCAAAUAUACUAUUUUGAAUUUCCCUUCAUUGAAAGGAUCUACUAUUGUGGACUAAACUAAAUUUUAGUCAGCAUACAAGGCUGCAAACAACAGCCAAGAAUUAGCUGGGUAGUUUGCAAACUUUAAAAAUAAUUGGACCUCAAACUUUGAUCCCCAAAAGUAAGCAAAUGGCCAAUACUGCGAACAUAAUCCAAGUUUUGACCACUAGGGGCAAUUUUUAGAUGUAAAAAAACUUGUUUAAAUUACAUAUCAAACAAAGGCAAAACAAAAUUUGGUAUUAAUUUUUUGGAGGAAACGUCAAGGUUUUUUGCUAUCCGCGCACGCUUCUACACCCCCUCCCCCAGGAUCCUCUCUAUCAGAAAACAGUUUACUGCAGAAACUAUGCUUUUUUAUCGGGAAAAUUUUUACUUUUCUCAAAAGAAAAAUUUAUAAACACGGAAACCUUAAAUAUUUAAAUAAUUUUCAUACCUUUUUGGGAUUGCAAAAAGCAAAAUUUGAUUCAUUAUCACACUUUUUAAAAUAUAUGUGACAAAGUUGCUUCGAAAUCACUAUCACGCAGUAGCAUGUUUAUUUACCC